rnacentral:sRNA from 1 species
GGCCAACGUACUGCCCGGUUGUGGGCGAUA